rnacentral:tRNA from 1 species
UCCCUCUUGGCUCAGAUGGUAAAGAAUUUGCCUGCAAUGCAGGAGACCCAGGUUCAAUCCCUGGAUCAGGAA